GAUCCUGGCUCAGGAUGAACGCUAGCUACAGGCUUAACACAUGCAAGUCGAGGGGCAGCAUGAAAGGAGCUUCGGUUCUUUUUGAUGGCGACCGGCGCACGGGUGCGUAACGCGUAUCGAACCUGCCUCAUACUCGGGGAUAGCCUUGCGAAAGUAAGAUUAAUACCCGGCGGUCUCGGAUGGCCGCAUGACUAUCCGAGUGAAGAUUUAUCGGUAUGAGACGGCGAUGCGUCCCA
rnacentral:rRNA from 1 species